CAUGCACAAUAGAAACUGAAUGUCUCUCCUGUGCUGCAUAAAAUAGACCAGGACCUCCAACUGGAAGUCCUAGCCUUUAUGCUGAGAGCAUAUGAUGAUGAUCUGGCUUCCAGUCGUACAUACCUACCUCUUUGGCUAUAGUUGUGGAUAAGAAUUAUAUCAGGAUUAGAUUUCAUGGCUCUCCUUAUAUUCCAACUCAGCUUCAGAUUUCAGAUGCAUAAAGCAACUGUCCCACAGGCCUGGGAGCUUGGCUCAUCCCUUCUCUCCUUCGCCAUUUGGACUUACCAUUUGUGCAGAAGUGCGAACCAUCAAGAGGACGACACGAACAGUACGGAAAGAAACAGUCCAAAGUCAGUGGCUGUAAAUCAUUCAGUUAUUUGAGUUGGCGAUUGUAGAUCGGUUAGCCAUUCUUUACUGUAACUGAUCCUUCUUCAUGACUGAUUUUUCUUUAUUUACGCUAAAUUGAAAGGUUUUUGUAUCUUGGCCGAGAAGGCAAGAUCUAUGAUUUGAUCUUAACUGAGAAGGCAAGAUUAAAAUAUGUAAGUUGCUAU